AAUAUUGGGCAAUGGAGGAAACUCUGACCCAGCAACGCCGCGUGAAGGAAGAAGGUCUUCGGAUUGUAAACUUCUGUCGUAAGGGAAGAAGAAUGACGGUACCUUACAAGAAAGCCCCGGCUAACUACGUGCCAGCAGCCGCGGUAAUACGUAGGGGGCAAGCGUUGUCCGGAAUGCCUGGGCGUAAAGGGAGUGUAGGCGGCAAAGCAAGUUAUAUGUGAAAGCCCGUGGCUCAACCACGGAAUUGCAUAUAAAACUGCUUAGCUAGAGUGUGGGAGAGGUAAGUGGAAUUCCUAGUGUAGCGGUGGAAUGCGUAGAUAUUAAGAGGAACACCGGUGGCGAAAGCGGCUUACUGGAACAUAACUGACGCUGAGGCUCGAAAGCGUGGGGAGCAAACA
rnacentral:rRNA from 1 species